CACGUAGUCGGCUUGUCAAGUCGGGUGUGAAAUCCCCGGGCUCAACCUGGGAACUGCAUCCGAAACUGACUUGCUAGAGUAUGGGAGAGGGAGGCGGAAUUUCUGGUGUAGCAGUGAAAUGCGUAGAUAUCAGAAGGAACAUCAGUGGCGAAGGCGGCCUCCUGGACCAAUACUGACGAUCAGGUGCGAAAGCGUGGGGAGCAAACAGGAUUAGAUACCCUGGUAGUCCACGCCCUAAACGAUGACAACUGGAUGUCGGGAGGGUUUGCCUUCCGGUGUCGUAGCUAACGCGUUAAGUUGUCCGCCUGGGAAGUACGGCCGCAAGGUUGAA
rnacentral:rRNA from 1 species